ACAUAUAACAUACCGAACACCAUUUUAUCUUUGAAAAAGAUAUCGAACAUCGCUAUGGCAUAUGACCCCUAGCACCCAUUUAUUUUUGCUAUCGCAAAAGGGUCCACCAACGAUGGUACCAUAAGUCUCACUGUAAGCUAAACCAUCAAUAUUAAGCUUGAAAAAAUUAACAGAAGGAGAAAACCAUUUUUCUCAAAAUUGCAGACUCUCAUCUCUCGAUUUUGGAUUCAUUGACAAUGUGAAACUUAAGGGGUAAGAUUAAUAAUCUUAAAGCUUGAAGGGACCAUGAAGCUGUCUUCAUUAUCACGAACGAAAUUGUUCUUUCUCCCUAAGAGUCAAGCUGGCAUUGCCAUUAUCACUAAUCUUUAUGUGGAAAUUUCA
rnacentral:lncRNA from 1 species